rnacentral:rRNA from 1 species
ACGCUCGACACCUACGGGAGGCAGCAGUGGGGAAUAUUGCACAAUGGGGGAAACCCUGAUGCAGCGACGCCGCGUGAGCGAAGAAGUAUUUCGGUAUGUAAAGCUCUAUCAGCAGGGAAGAAGAAAGACGGUACCUGACUAAGAAGCCCCGGCUAACUACGUGCUAGCAGCCGCGGUAAUCUGAGCGGGCUGGCAAGGC